GAUGAACGCUGGCGGCGUGCUUAACACAUGCAAGUCGAACGGAAAGGCCCUAGCUUGCUUGGGUACUCGAGUGGCGAACGGGUGAGUAACACGUGGGUGACCUGCCCUGCACUUCGGGAUAAGCCUAGGAAACUGGGUCUAAUACUGGAUAGGACCACUUCUUGGAUGGUGUGGUGGAGAGUUUUUUCGGUGUGGGGUUAGCUCGCGGCCUAUCAGCGUGUUGGUGGGGUAAUGGCAUACCAAGGCGUCGGCGGGUAGCCGGCCUGAGAGGGUGUACGGCCACAUUGGGACCGAGAGACGGCCCAGGCGCCGACGGGAGGCAGCAGGGGGGAAGAUUGAUCAAGGGGCGCAAGCCUGAUGCAGCGACGCCGCGUGGGGGAUGACGGCCUUCGGGUUGGAAACUCCUUUCGCUAGGGACGAAGCGUUUUGUGACGGUACCUGGAGAAGAAGCACCGGCUAACUACGUG
rnacentral:rRNA from 1 species